AUGUCUCCUAGAGUUCCUCUGAGCACUUCAUUGGGAAUACAUUUUUCUAUGAUGUUACCCACUGAAGUGUUUGGGGGAACUCCCGGACCCAU
rnacentral:pre_miRNA from 1 species